rnacentral:misc_RNA from 1 species
GGCGGCGAGACCGGAGAGGACCAGUCCGAUGAUCGCCAUCAGUCCGAUGAUGAAGCCGAGACGGAGCACGCAGUUACUCGAAAAGCGGGGAUGAAAACGACCACCGGCAACCAAUGCGGCUUUGGCGGAAACGGCAAUCAAACGCAGAUACCGAACUAAUAAUCAUGGGUGCUCUGAUGCUGCCGGAUCGUUGGAGCAAUCCGGCCCGGCCUGAAUGUCUCGCG